rnacentral:rRNA from 1 species
UGGGGAAUAUUGGACAAUGGGCGAAAGCCUGAUCCAGCAAUGCCGCGUGAGUGAUGAAGGCCUUAGGGUUGUAAAGCUCUUUUACCCGGGAUGAUAAUGACAGUACCGGGAGAAUAAGCUCCGGCUAACUCCGUGCCAGCAGCCGCGGUAAUACGGAGGGAGCUAGCGUUGUUCGGAAUUACUGGGCGUAAAGCGCGCGUAGGCGGCUUUGUAAGUUAGAGGUGAAAGCCCGGAGCUCAACUCCGGAACUGCCUUUAAAACUGCAUCGCUUGAAUCCGGGAGAGGUGAGUGGAAUUCCGAGUGUAGAGGUGAAAUUCGUAGAUAUUCGGAAGAACACCAGUGGCGAAGGCGGCUCACUGGACCGGUAUUGACGCUGAGGUGCGAAAGCGUGGGGAGCAAACAGGAUUAGAUACCCCCGUAGUCC